AUUCUAAGUGCAAAAUAAACAACAAAACAGUAACUUAAGUUAUCAUCAUAACAAAAAGGGAGGUAAAUACAGAAACAUUCUCCAAUUACAUGUAUCCUUCACACUCAAGAAGCAAAAUUCAAAAUAUGCCACAACCCAUUCAAAUUAAAUGCCACCUGAAAUGUAACGUCACUGACUGCUGACAUCAAUAAUCAGUUUUAGGCCUUUUAUGUUUCUCGUUUCAGUUAAUCAGCUCAGGGACAUAUAUAUAACCUAUUAGUACUUCGUUUCCCAUAUAGAACCUAUAAGUACUUAGUUUUCUUUCCAAAGACAUUAUUAAUAGUCAACUGAUGACCAAUAGCCUUCUGAUUAUCUGCAGGCAUUGCCAAGAUCAAACAUAUGUGUUGCUCUAAAUGCAUUCAUAAUUUUUUCAUAUGUAAAAUUUGAGGUCACAUUUGAAACUGUGAACCAAUUAAGCUGCAAAGGAGCAUUGAAAAUAAAGGGUGCAAAAUACAUCACUUACAACUCGAGGAAAGAUAACAGUUCAGAAAUACUUACUGGUGCUCUCAGGAUGAGUAUCUGCAUAUAGGUUAACAAAGGAAACGAUCAACUUCGACAAUAUUGAAGCCAACAACAAAAAAAAGGGAAAUGUUUCACAGUGCCAAGUUGACGCUGAAUAAUUGUCCCACAUUUGCAAAUAACUUCUGUAUGUCUCUACCAUAAGAUAACUAUCAGUAUUCUAAUACCAAAAGGUUGACAAAUCAGAGUUACUGAUAUUAUUUUCCUUGACUCCCCAUGUCUGGGACAACUAUUCAUCGAGUAAAGGUUAAAAAGUGUAAAAGUAAAUUAGUUCGUCAUUUGCGGUAAUAUACAACACUGUUCCUGGCCUCCUGGUAGGGUAGAUGGAACAAAGCAUAAAGAUAUGUAUGAAGAAUUAUUAACCAGGAUUUGGCAUGGAUUUAAUAAACUAUUGCAUAUAACAUCUAUCUGGAGGCUAAAGGGACUAUAGCAAUCGUGGAAUCAAAUAAUUUGGAUGGCAUCGCCAAUCUCCAAGUCAACCUAAAACUCUCUGGAUCCACCAUUCAUUUUUGUAGUGGCUAUUGACCAAUUUAGAAACAAUAAAGAGCAGUAUUUUUUCAGCUAGAUGAAAGAUAAUGGAAACAGAUUAUCUUGCAGUGCAAAACUAACAUCUCAUAUUUGAAAACUAUCACCAAGCUAAUUCCCCCUUUUGGGUGAAUGUUAAAAGAUGAUUUUGUAAUGAUCAAACUUUAUUUAGCCUUCGAACAUGCAAUUUUUAGUCAAAGUUCGUUAGGAACUUAUUAUAUCAAAAAGAUGAAACACAAACGUGACACAUGUAAUUGGCAAGCACAUCCUGACAGAAGAUAAUACAAAUCCAUAGAAAAUCAAGUUUCGAUAGCUGGCAUUCUAA